ACCAUUUGUUCUAAGUCAAAGUUUUAUAACUUCGACCAAUUUUGUAGAAAAGAGUAGUAGUAUAUAUAACAUCAAAUUGAUAUCUUAUGAAAAUACAUUUCAAAACGAAUCUAGUGAUACUAAUUUAGUGCCAUAAAUGCUGUUACUUUUUUCUAUAAAGUUGGUCAAAGUUUUAAAACUUUGACUUAGGACAAAAACUA
rnacentral:pre_miRNA from 1 species